GGACCCGCACAAGUAGUGGAGCAUGUGGUUUAAUUCGAAGAUACGCGCAGAACCUUACCAACACUUGACAUGUUCGUCGCGACUUUAAGAGAUUAAAGUUUUCGGUUCGGCCGGACGAAACACAGGUGCUGCAUGGCUGUCGUCAGCUCGUGUCGUGAGAUGUUGGGUUAAGUCCCGCAACGAGCGCAACCCUCACUUUUAGUUGCCAUCAUUAAGUUGGGCACUCUGAAAGAACUGCCAGUGAUAAGCUGGAGGAAGGUGGGGAUGACGUCAAGUCCUCAUGGCCCUUACGUGUUGGGCUACACACGUGCUACAAUGGUAUCUACAACAGGAAGCAAGACGGCGACGUUAAGCAAAUCCUUAAAAUGUACCUCAGUUCGGAUUGUACUCUGUAACUCGAGUGCAUGAAGCUGGAAUUGCUAGUAAUCG
rnacentral:rRNA from 1 species